rnacentral:sRNA from 1 species
GCACGUUGGUGGCGUACUUGGAUAUUCUCCAAGCGGGUUACUGUAUGCUUCUAAGAAUUUUAGACAUUCACAAUUAGCCCGCUCUUUCCAGCGGGCUUUUUAGU